GAUGAACGCUGGCGGCGUGCUUAACACAUGCAAGUCGAACGGAAAGGCGCUGCGUUUGUGGGUUUCUCGAGUGGCGAGCGGGUGAGUGACACGUGUGUAACCUGCCCUUGACUUUGGGAUAACUUCUGGAAACUGGGGCUAAUACAGGAUAGGAGCUCCUGAUGCAUGGUGGGGGUUGGAGAGAUUCGGCGUUUGGGUAUGGACUGGUGGCGUAUCAGCUUGUUUGGGGGGUAGUGGGUUACCAAGGCUUGGACGGGUAGCCGGCCUGAGAGGGUGACAGGCGACACUGGGACUUAGAUAAGGCACAGAUACGUACGGUAGGCAGCAGUGGGGAAUCUUGCACAAUGGGCGGAAGGCUGAUGAAGAAACGCUGCGGGCGGGAAGACGGUGUUCGGGGUGUAAACCGAUUUCGCCUGUGACGAAGCGUGAGUGGCGGUAAUGGGUAAAGAAGCACCGGCUAACUACGUG
rnacentral:rRNA from 1 species